GCGCACGCUGGCGGCAGGCCUCACCCAUGCAAGUCGCACGCACUCUUCGGAGUUAGUGGCGGACGGGUGAGUAACACGUGGGAACGUGCCUUUAGGUUCGGAAUAACUCAGGGAAACUUGUGCUAAUACCGAAUGUGCCCUUCGGGGGAAAGAUUUAUCGCCUUUAGAGCGGCCCGCGUCUGAUUAGCUAGUUGGUGAGGUAAAGGCUCACCAAGGCGACGAUCAGUAGCUGGUCUGAGAGGAUGAUCAGCCACAUUGGGACUGAGACACGGCCCAAACUCCUACGGGAGGCAGCAGUGGGGAAUCUUGCGCAAUGGGCGAAAGCCUGACGCAGCCAUGCCGCGUGAAUGAUGAAGGUCUUAGGAUUGUAAAAUUCUUUCACCGGGGACGAUAAUGACGGUACCCGGAGAAGAAGCCCCGGCUAACUUCGUG
rnacentral:rRNA from 1 species